rnacentral:lncRNA from 1 species
GAGAGCCCCGCCCCGCGCCUCCAGCUGGCCGAGGCAGAGUCCUGCUGGAAACCAGAGGGCUGCAGAUUCCUACACAUGACCAGUCUUCAGUAGUGAACAAAAAUGGCAUCUAAAUCCCAAGUGACACUCUUAAGCACUUGGCAGCAGAAGGGCUCUUCUGAGGAAGAUUAAGUUAAUGGAAGCAUUUGGGUAACAUCUGCAUGACUCUUCAUCCUGGUAAGGCCAACUCACACUGCAACAACACGUGAUGGAGGAUUUCUCUGAUUAUCACUUAAGAACAAAACUGGCUGAAGUUUCUUUUCAAGUACUGACCAGGAUGUCAGAGUACCUUUUGUCACAGAGGAUCCAAAAGGGGGAGUAUUAUAUAGGAAUCACUUCCUUCUCCAAAUGUGGGUAGUAUCAGUGACGG